rnacentral:rRNA from 1 species
UACGGGGGGGGCAAGCGUUGUUCGGAAUUACUGGGCGUAAAGGGUUCGUAGGUGGCUUGUUAAGUCAGACGUGAAAUCCCACGGCUCAACCGUGGAACUGCUUGGUAUACUGGUUCUCUUGAGCCACCUAGGGGCAACCGGAACAAACGGUGGAGCGGUGAAAUGCGCAGAUAUCGGGAGGAACACCGGUGGCGAAGGCGGUUCUCUGGGCCUUACCUGACGCUGAGGAGCGAAAGCGUGGGGAGCGAACAGG